AAGGGCACACCGGAAGGUAACCAUGGAGAUGUAAACAUGGAUGUGAUGGUCGACAAUGAAGCUUAUGUUCAAUAUGCCUACAUUGAAGAUACAAACAGUUGUGAUGUGCAGUAUGAAAGAGAACCUGCAGUAAUGGUCGACAACGUCUGUUAUCAUGGGUAUUCGGACAGCGACGUCUCGGACACCUCGUACUGGGAGUACAACGGCCCCGCUGAUGAGCGUGCUGGAUCUGACAACAAGGAAUAAUAAUGCAUUCAGCAUGGUGGCUGUCAAGAUUACCUGAAUGAACAACAAAACCUAGACAGACAACAACUCGUGUCCGAACAAACUGCAAAACAUACGGACACACUUUGAACAGGAAUAUUGUCAACGAAAAUGAAACUAAAUUGUUCUUGGUCGUCGUGCGUGUUCGAAUCUCAUUCGAUGUGUAUCGAGAUGUACUGCCAAUAUUGUUUUAUUGUCAUUAUUUUUUAGUUUAAGUGGAUUAUAUGUUAUAUGUGUGUGUCAGUAUAUUACAUCCAUUGAAUGUUCUUCUGCAAAGUCAGUGCAUUAUUUUAUCAUUAAAAAGCAUUGAACUGAUAGGUUUUCGUUGAUGCCUACGUACGGACAUACUUAUCUCUUAUGUAAAUGGUUUGAUAUUAUGUGUAUGACAGUUGCUUUUAUAUUUUCCCUCGG